UUAAAGAUGGGACCAGGGGACUCAAGACCUCAUAGAUCAAGAGCCUCCUCAAAUGCUGAUGCCUCAUUGUCUUUAUUGUGCUCUCAGGAAUGUAAAAAAAAUGUGAGAAAAUAGAAACCCCAUGGCCCUCUGCCUCCAGUCACAUCGUAUUUAUAUCUGACCUUUGCUCUAACAUUCUAUAUCUAAAGGGCAUCCAUCCAUAAGACUCGUGUCAGCUAUUUAUGCGUAGCAUCUUAAGGAAUAAUCAGUGCCUGAUCAAGCAGUUUUCUGACUUGAGCUGACCUGGUUUUCCAAAGUUUACACCUUGUCCUCUCAGUUAAUGCAUGAUUUGCUGAGCCAGUUCCCUCUAGCCCCUUACUUAUAGUUACUUAUAGCUAAGUCCCACAUCAGUAUGAAUAAGCAUUUUUUCCAAUUUGUAGUUUCCUUAGGGAUUAGAAAAUAAUUCAGGAAGAUUUCUCCCCACAACUACCAAAAAAGAAAAUUAUAGGCCAAUAUAUUUUAUGAAUAUAGACAUAAAAAUCCUUGACAAAACUUUAGCCAACCAAAUCUGACAACAUAUCAAAAAGAUCAUACCUCAUGACCAAUUGGGAUUCAUCCCAGUUUCACAAGGAUGUUUCAACAUAUGCAAAUCAAUCAAUGUCAUACACCACAUUAAAAAAAGAAAAGUCAAAAACCACAUGAUUAUCUCAACAGAUGCAGAAAAAGCAUUUGACAAAGUCCAACAUCCAUUCAUGAUCAAAACUCUUACCAAAGUGGGUAUAGAGGGUACAUGCCUUAACAUAAUAAAAGCCAUUUAUUACAAACCCACAGCCAAUAUAAUACUCAAAGGAGAAAAGCUGAAAUAACUUCCCACUUAUAUCUGGAACAAGAUCUGUUUGCCCACUUUCACCACUUUUAUUCCACAUAGUAUUGGAAGUCCUAGCCACAGCAAUCGGGCAAACAAAAGAAAUAAAAUGUAUCCAAAUUGGAAGAGAAGAGGUAAAAUUGUAACUCUUUAUGCAGAUGACAUGAUACUAUAUAUAGAAAACCUUAAGGACUUCACACAAAAACUACUCAACUGAUCAAGGAAUUCAGCGAAGUAGCAGAAUACAAGAUUAACAUUCAGAAAUUGAUUGCAUGUCUAUAUACUAACAAUGAAAUAUUAGAAAAGGAAUAUAAAAAUACAGUACCUUUUAAAAUCACACCCCUCAAAAAUUAAAUACCUAGGAAUAAAACUGACCAAGGGGGUGAAAGAUUUAUAUGCUGAGAACUAUACAACAUUAAUAAGGGAAAUUAAAGAGGAUUCAAAGAAGUGGAAAGAUAUUUCAUACUCCUGGGUCGAAAUAAUUAAUACCAUAAAAAUUGCCAUAGUACCCAAAGCAUUGUACAGAUUCACUGCAAUCAGUUCAAGGUGACUCCAUUCUCUUUAAAUGUAUGUUUUUCCCUUUCUCUGAACCAGGAACUUUGACCCAGAGGAGAAUGCUGAAGAAAUUUGGGCUCAUGUGUAUUCAGAAGUCUGAUGCCUUGACUGUGUAGGUGUUUGCAGUUCCACCCAGAUACAGCUCAUGGUUGAGUCUUUCCCUAGGUCAUGGCUGCCCCAGAUUCAGUGCUGUACUGUGGCUUCUUCUGAGCAGGGCUGGCAUGAUCACUUGGCUUGGACUAGGUUGCACUGGGCUGGGGCAUAAAGAAAGGCAGUCAUGAGUAACCUGACAGCCACUAGAGCAGAACUUUCUCUGCUCUACAGCUGAUCACUGUCCCUAGACUCCUACCUUCUGAGGCACUGCUCCACAGGGGAGAUGGGGCCUGUGCAUUUUCUCGCAUUUAUUGGAGAGGGGUAAACUAUGCUUGAAUAGCUGCUAUCAAAAAUCAUUUUUCAUCUGGGGCUUUGCUUUAGUAAGUACUAGCAAUGUCUUUGGAAGCCCCACCUAGGCUCUGUCCCAGGACUAGGUCACCUCUCUGCCCCAAAGUCAGGUCUUUUCCCUGGUCCUGGCUGCCCUAGAUCUAGUGCUGCACUCUGGCAAGUAGUGAGUGGGGCCGGAGAGUUCUCGCUGCUUGAUGUGGGGUACAAGGCAUAGUAGUCACAGGAAAUCCACAGCUGCUGGGGAAGAUCUCUUUCUGCUCUGCUUGGGGGCUACCCAGCUUGGGCACAGUCCUCAUGAGUGGAGUCCAGGCUUCUCCAGCCUUUCCAUUCCUCCCAGUGGUCUGUCCUCCAACCAGCCAAGGGGCCUUGUCUUCUCUGUGUAGGACCUCAGUACUGAGAUACCCAGUCUAUGGCUUUACAUGAUCACUCUCCAGGGUGGGUGUCUGCUGCUAUAGUCUUCCUGUACCUCUGAAUACCCUCCUGGGUCCAAACUCAAUUGCUUUUCUUCCCUUCCUAACCAAUUACUUGUGUAUCUUUUUUUAGAGCCCUGGUUGUACAGGAAUCCUUCUGCUAAUUUCCAGUUAAUUUUCAUGCAGAUGCAUUUUUUUAUGUGUUCAUGAGGGGGAGGUGAGCUCCAUGUCUUCUUACUAUGCCAUCUUAUUUCCACCAAUAUGACUAUAGUUAUAUUAAUAUAAAGUGAUUAAAACACACUACUAAUUAAAGUCAGAUCAUUUCAGCAACCAUAAUAGACCAUACUCAUAGAAUUAUUUUGACAACCAAAAACAAAAAUACUUUAGAUAUUUAAAUUAUCACCAGAAUUUUAACUCUAGGAGACAUUUUUAAUACACUUGGAUAAUAUAAUUCAGACAAUUAUAUUGAAUUUAUAUCAUAUUCAUUUGUGUAAAAACUGAAAUUACAUUCUAUAUCUGGAUAGCACUUUAAAACAGUCUCAGUACCCUACCCAUGUUUGGCAUCUUAUUUUAAACUCUUUAUUCCAGAAGUUAUUUAGGGCAGAAAUGUUUAUUCCUGCUGUAAAGGUGAAUAAAAACACAGUGGGCACAUGGCCAUGGCUGAAUGGCCCUGAGUAGGGCUUGGCCUAGAAGACGAGGGUUAGUCUGGGCUGCUGGAUACAGUCAUUUCUUAGGCUGGGUGGAGGUACCAUGGCAGCAUGAGGCAGUGAGGCAGUAUUUCAGAGAUUAUGGCAUCUGGACCCCACAAUGUUAAAAUAUGUAACAUUUGUAAUAAUAUUGAGGAUCAUUCCUAGAAGAAGGAUCUCUAAUUUCAAUAAUAAAAACAUGAAGGAUGUUAAGAAAUCCCCAAAAGAGUUGUUUGCUUACAUAACUAGAACAGUUGGACAGACUGUGAAAGGCCCAGAUCAUCUACAUUAGGUAAUUUAUUGCAGAAAAAAGUUCAUCAUCUUUUCCCCAAUCCUUGUUACAGGAAAAAACGUUUUCCUAGAAGUGGGGCUGUGACAUGGCAAAUGAAAAAAAUUGACUGGCUUGUGCUGGCUACCUCCCUGAAAAAUUAUACCGCUAUAGUUGAACAUACUCGGUUAACUCUAGUGAUUCUAGUUUGUUACAGACAGAAAGACCAUCAAAGUACAAUUUUUUUAGGUGUUUAUUAGGACUAUGAAAGAAUGGCACAUGUUUUGUUCGCGGGAAUUUGAGAUUGACUGUAGUUUUAACCUUCUGGAUAAAGUGAAGUAUAAGUGAAAUUGUAGCUUAUUAGGUGAGGAUAGAAGACCUUGGAGUUGUAGAGGAUUGCCUUCUUUGCUCACCAGUAGUUUACAGGAAGAAAAUCAAUACAUCUCGCUUGAUUGCUGUGUAGACUUGUUGUGUCUAGUAAAGUCACUACUUAAAAGCAAAUUUGAAGGAUGUAUACUAGUUUGUUUAAACUGGCUUCAAGCAGUCAUUAAAAGAUGGUAGUCGAGGAGUUCCUGUUGUGGCUCAGCAAUAAUGAACCUGAUUAGUAUCCAUGAGGAUGUGGGUUUGAUCCCUGGUCUUGCUCAGUGGGUUAAGGAUCUAGUGUUGCCGUGAGCUGUGGUUUAGGUCACAGACAUGGCUCAGAUCUGGCAUUGCUAUAGCUGUGGAGUAGGCUGACAGCUACAUUUCUGAUUUGACCCCUAGGGGAAAUUCCAUAUGCCA
rnacentral:lncRNA from 1 species